UACAGAGGUCCCAAGCGUUGUUCGGAUUCACUGGGCGUAAAGGGUGCGUAGGCGGUCGGGUAAGUCUGAUGUGAAAUCUCACAGCUUAACUGUGAAACUGCAUUGGAUACUAUUCGGCUUGAGAGUUGGAGGGGGGACUGGAAUUCUUGGUGUAGCAGUGAAAUGCGUAGAUAUCAAGAGGAACACCAGUGGCGAAGGCGGGUCCCUGGACAACACCUGACACUGAGGCACGAAAGCUAGGGGAGCAAACAGG
rnacentral:rRNA from 1 species